CUUUCUUUGCUGGCGACCGGCGCACGGGUGAGUAACACGUAUCCAACCUGCCCUUUACUCGGGGAUAGCCUUUCAAAAGAAAGAUUAAUACCCGAUAGUAUAAUGAUUCCGCAUGGUUUCAUUAUUAAAGGAUUCCGGUAAAGGAUGGGGAUGCGUUCCAUUAGGUUGUUGGUGAGGUAACGGCUCACCAAGCCUUCGAUGGAUAGGGGUUCUGAGAGGAAGGUCCCCCACAUUGGAACUGAGACACGGUCCAA
rnacentral:rRNA from 1 species